UACGGGGGGGUGCGAGCGUUGUCCGGAAUCACUGGGCGUAAAGGGCGCGUAGGUGGUUUGAUAAGGGUGUGGUGAAAGCUCGGGGCUCAACCCCGAGUCGGCCGUGCGAACUGUUUUGCUGGAGCACUGUAGAGGCAGGCGGAAUUCCGGGUGUAGCGGUGGAAUGCGUAGAGAUCCGGAAGAACACCGGUGGCGAAGGCGGCCUGCUGGGCAGUUGCUGACACUGAGGCGC
rnacentral:rRNA from 1 species